rnacentral:misc_RNA from 1 species
AACGCACAUUGCGCCUAAGAGUAUUCUUUUAGGCAUGCUUGUUCGAGCGUCGUUUUAAAUCUUAAGGCUUUGCCUUUUUGUUGAUAUUUUGGGAGAAAUUUGGUUUCUCUCAAUUAUCUAAAAUAGUUGGCAAUUGUUUAAUGACCGAAUGCGCAGCGAAAUGCGGUACAGAAAGUCAUAUAAAACUUAUAUUUGCCAGUGUUAAUUAAUUGUUCGACCUCGGAUCAAGUAAGAUUACCCGCUGAACUUAA